CUUACAUUGCUACAUGGUGUCAAUAGCACUAAUUGUACCUAAGUCAAAAGUAAAUACUUUUAUAUUGCUGUUAUUUUUAGAUAACUCCUUGUCAGUAUCUUUGUAGAGUCGUGCCUGGGCUUUAUUUGAUAAGUGUUCAUCAUAUGAUUUCUGUAUUGAAACCUUGUCCUCUGUAUUUUUGAACAUUCCGCAUGUUGAGCAUGUGUCCUUUGUCUGCAUUGAUUUUCUUACGAUCUUCUUCAGAGAAGUGUUCUGGGCAUUUGCGAUGACAGCUGCAAUCAGCGGGCUUCGGUAAACGUUCCUUAAUUACUUUACCACAAUUUGUAACAUAAGCCUUUCCUUGACUCCUGUCACUCUUUCUUUUGUUUUGCAUCUAAAGCUGGCUCUUACGCUAUUGAAUACAACAAAUCCAUAAUUGUAGGAGACAUCUUCUUAAAUUACCUUUAAUUAACUCACCUUUCUUUUUCGUGUUACUGUUAAUUCUACAUUUUCAUCAUUGCUUUCUUCCGCGAUUUCGCAGAGUACUUCAUGUUGCUUUACCGAAGAUUUUUCAAUUUUCCCCUCGAGAUUAUCCUCUUCUUCAUCCGUUUCUGGAAUAUAAUAAUCUGACGAUUCUGCUGAAAACUCUUCUCCAUCCUCUUCGUCAUUUUACGAUAUAUUUGAAUCCACUGGUUCCACAGAUAAUCCAACAGAGUUUGGAGCAAGUUUCACACAUAGGGCUCCUGUUGAUUCCGUCGCAAAUUCUGUUGACAAUUAAUAUACCUAAAUAUUCUUUCCUGCAAUUUAAGAUAGCAGAUACUCACCAGAGCUUGACAAAUCCAUGAUUAAAUGAAUGAUUGGGAACGAAUGAACGACUAAAUGAUUAUGAACGAGCGAAUUUCAACAACGAACUGAAAUCCUAAAUUGCACAAAUUAUUUCUAUUGCAUUUACAUACAUAAUAAAACAACGUAAGCAUUGCAUAGGCUACUUUUGUUUUUUGUAAUUUUAAAACACAUGUUAAUUGUUCUGAGAAUAUAACGGCCUAUAAGAUUCAUACAAAUGAACAAAUUGAAAAUAUUUGUUGAACAACAACGUAUAUCAUUAUACGUCAUUUUAGGUGUUUGUGUCAUGAAAAAAUUGAUUUUUUUCCUAAAAGUUAAAAUAGAGUAUUUUUUAUCUGCAGGAGUUCACAGGCGCGCAAGAGCAGCGGACGGUGUGCGUUGAAGAGCUAGGUGGUACAACUGUAGUGGUUUUAGAAACGAAGGCGAGCAUGCGCGUAUGUCUACCAUUGUCAUAUGUAGUGCUUCGGACAAUUUCAUGGAUGACAUUGAGCGUGCUGUGAAGAUGGUGUAAAUAAUUUCAAGUGUUUGGUACGUGACAGUCGUUAUGUGCUUUUGCUGGUGUCACUGAAUCGAGUUGGCUUACCUUACCAGGUCUAGAACGGUACGCUGAACGUGGAUGUAAGAGCAAGUCCUCGCACUUUCCGUCCACAAUUACACGUCCAUGUUUACAUCUGCCCGAAUAUGUGCAGCGUUCCAAUAUCUACACAAGCAAACGCCCACUUUUUCGCUGCGACUCAUUGUAUUUGAUCAACCCAAUUUAUGGAUUAUAUUAGCCAAAUAUAAAAUUUCCAGAUGUA